rnacentral:sRNA from 1 species
GCGUCUAGAGGUCUGUCUGACCGCGGCGUCGGGACUUGGUUUCCGGGCAUGAGCUGAGAGCACCACGCCGAGGCCACGAGUAUUUCAUAGACAUUGAUGGAAGCAGAAACCAAAACUCUUCCCUUGGAGAAUGCAUCCAUCCUUUCAGAGGGCUCUCUGCAGGAAGGACACCGAUUAUGGAUUGGCAACCUGGACCCCAAAAUUACCGAUGUUCCGAUAAUUUUAAGAAAUUAUCAAACAAGAAAAGAAAUCCUGGAGAAGUUGAAAGACACAGGCCUAAGCAGAUGUUCCUGGAAUCUGAAGAUACCACCUCCUCAAGCUCCUCCAGAAGUUUGGCAAGGUAAAGCAGUUUGACUUCCUCUUCCACAAGUCAGGUGCUUUGGAGGGACAGCCUCGAGGCUACUGUUUUGUUAACUUUGAAACUAAGCAGGAAGCAGAACAAGCCAUCCAGUGUCUCAAUGGCAAGUUGGCCCUGUCCAAGAAGCUGGUGGUGCGAUGGGCACAUGCUCAAGUAAAGAGAUAUGAUCAUAACAAGAAUGAUAAGAUUCUUCCAAUCAGUCUCGAGCCAUCCUCAAGCACUGAGCCUACUCAGUCUAACCUAAGUGUCACUGCAAAGAUAAAAGCCAUUGAAGCAAAACUGAAAAUGAUGGCAGAAAAUCCUGAUGCAGAGUAUCCAGCAGCGCCUGUUUAUUCCUACUUUAAGCCACCAGAUAAAAAAAGGACUACUCCAUAUUCUAGAACAGCAUGGAAAUCUCGAAGAUGAUGGUUGUGAAUUACUGUAGCAGCAAAAGCAAAUUGGUCUCCACACCUAAAAUCGUCAGCCUUUGUACUUUGUAGAUGUGAAUGGUACUAUUCAACAGAGCACAACCACAUGUUAGCAUUUGGUAAC